rnacentral:rRNA from 1 species
CUGGGAUUGCCCUAGUAACGGCGAGUGAAGCGGCAACAGCUCAAAUUUGAAAUCUGGCCUCCUCUGGGGGUCCGAGUUGUAAUUUGCAGAGGGUGCUUUGGCGUUGGUGGCGGUCUAAGUUCCUUGGAACAGGACAUCGCAGAGGGUGAGAAUCCCGUUUGUGGUCGCCUGCCUUCGCCGUGUAAAGCCCCUUCGACGAGUCGAGUUGUUUGGGAAUGCAGCUCUAAAUGGGAGGUAAAUUUCUUCUAAAGCUAAAUACUGGCCAGAGACCGAUAGCGCACAAGUAGAGUGAUCGAAAGAUGAAAAGCACUUUGGAAAGAGAGUCAAACAGCACGUGAAAUUGUUGAAAGGGAAGCGCUUGCAGCCAGACUUGCCCGCAGUUGCUCACCCAGGCUUUUGCCCGGGGCACUCUUCUGCGGGCAGGCCAGCAUCAGUUUGGGCGGUCGGAUAAAGGCCUCUGUCACGUAUCUUCCUUCGGGAUGACCUUAUAGGGGAGGCGACAUGCGACCAGCCCGGACUGAGGUCCGCGCUUCUGCUAGGAUGCUGGCGUAAUGGCUGUAAGCGGCCCGUCUUGAAACACGGACCAAGGAGUCUAACAUCUAUGCGAGUGUUUGGGUGUCAAGCCCGAGCGCGUAAUGAAAGUGAACGGAGGUGGGAACCCUUGGGUGCACCAUCGACCGAUCCUGAUGUCUUCGGAUGGAUUUGAGUAAGAGCAUAGCUGUUGGGACCCGAAAGAUGGUGAACUAUGCUUGAAUAGGGUGAAGCCAGAGGAAACUCUGGUGGAGGCUCGCAGCGGUUCUGACGUGCAAAUCGAUCGUCAAAUUUGGGCAUAGGGGCGAAAGACUAAUCGAACUAUCUAGUAGCUGG